rnacentral:rRNA from 1 species
UCGAGAAUCUUCGGCAAUGGGCGAAAGCCUGACCGAGCGACGCCGCGUGCGGGAUGAAGGCCCUUGGGUUGUAAACCACUGUCAGAGGGGAUGAAGUGCCGGCAGGCAAUCCUGUCGGUUUGACAUAGCCUCAGAGGAAGCACGGGCUAAGUUCGUGCCAGCAGCCGCGGUAAUACGAACUGUGCAAACGUUAUUCGGAAUCACUGGGCUUAAAGGGUGCGUAGGCGGCCAUUUAAGUAGGGUGUGAAAGCCCCCGGCUCAACCGGGGAAUUGCGUCCUAAACUGGAUAGCUCGAGUGAGAUAGAGGUGUGCGGAACUUCCGGUGGAGCGGUGAAAUGUGUUGAUAUCGGAAGGAACGCCGGUGGCGAAAGCGACACACUGGAUCUCAACUGACGCUGAGGCACGAAAGCCAGGGGAGCGAACGGGAUUAGAUACCCCCGUAGUCC